UACGGAGGAGGCAAGCGUUAUCCGGAAUUAUUGGGCGUAAAGCGUCCGUAGGUGGUUUUGUCAGUCGGCUGUCAAAGCCCGUGGCUCAACCACGGAAAGGCAGUGGAAACUACAAAACUCGAGUGCUCUAGGGGCAGAGGGAAUUCCCAGUGUAGCGGUGAAAUGCGUAGAGAUUGGGAAGAACACCCGUGGCGAAAGCGCUCUGCUGGAGAGCAACUGACAUUGAGGGACGAAAGCUAGGGGAGCGAAUGGG
rnacentral:rRNA from 1 species